rnacentral:rRNA from 1 species
GUCGAGCGCGGGAAGCGAGCGGAUCCCUUCGGGGUGAAGCUCGUGGAACGAGCGGCGGACGGGUGAGUAACACGUGGGCAACCUGCCUGUAAGAUCGGAAUAACCCCGGGAAACCGGGGCUAAUGCCGGGUAAUACUUUCUUUCGCAUGAAGGAAAGUUGAAAGAUGGCUUCUUGCUAUCACUUACAGAUGGGCCCGCGGCGCAUUAGCUAGUUGGUGAGGUAACGGCUCACCAAGGCGACGAUGCGUAGCCGACCUGAGAGGGUGAUCGGCCACACUGGGACUGAGACACGGCCCAGACUCCUACGGGAGGCAGCAGUAGGGAAUCUUCCGCAAUGGACGAAAGUCUGACGGAGCAACGCCGCGUGAACGAUGAAGGUCUUCGGAUCGUAAAGUUCUGUUGUUAGGGAAGAACAAGUACCGUGCGAAUAGAGCGGUACCUUGACGGUACCUAACGAGGAAGCCCCGGCUAACUACGUGCCAGCAGCCGCGGUAAUACGUAGGGGGCAAGCGUUGUCCGGAAUUAUUGGGCGUAAAGCGCGCGCAGGCGGUUCCUUAAGUCUGAUGUGAAAGCCCACGGCUCAACCGUGGAGGGUCAUUGGAAACUGGGGAACUUGAGGACAGAAGAGGAGAGUGGAAUUCCACGUGUAGCGGUGAAAUGCGUAGAUAUGUGGAGGAACACCAGUGGCGAAGGCGACUCUCUGGUCUGUUUCUGACGCUGAGGUGCGAAAGCGUGGGUAGCAAACAGGAUUAGAUACCCUGGUAGUCCACGCCGGUAAACGAUGAGUGCUAGGUGUUAGGGGGCUUCCACCCCUUAGUGCUGAAGUUAGCGCAUUAAGCACUCCGCCUGGGGAGUACGGCCGCAAGGCUGAAACUCAAAGGAAUUGACUGGGCCCGCACAAGCGGUGGAGCAUGUGGU